rnacentral:rRNA from 1 species
AGAGCGAACGCUGGCGGCAGGCCUAACACAUGCAAGUCGAGCGCCCGUAGCAAUACGGGAGCGGCAGACGGGAUAGUAACACGUGGGAACGCGCCCUUCGGUUCGGAAUAACUCAGGGAAACUUGAGCUAAUACCGGAUACGCCCUUACGGGGAAAGAUUUAUUGCCGAAGGAGCGGCCCGCGUCCGAUUAGCUAGUUGGUGAGGUAAUGGCUCACCAAGGCGACGAUCGGUAGCUGGUCUGAGAGGAUGACCAGCAUCACUGGGACUGAGACACGGCCCAGACUCCUACGGGAGGCAGCAGUGGGGAAUAUGGACAAUGGGCGCAAGCCUGAUCCAGCCAUGCCGCGUGGAUGAUGAAGGCCUUAGGGUUGUAAAGUCCUUUAACGGGGAAGAUAAUGACGGUACCGUAGAAUAAGCCCGGCUAACUUCGUGCCAGCAGCCGC